rnacentral:rRNA from 1 species
CCCUUAGAUGUCCUGGGCCGCACGCGCGUUACACUGAUGCAUUCAACGAGCUUAUAACCUUGGCCGAGAGGCCUGGGCAAUCUUGUUAACGUGCAUCGUGAUAGGGAUAGAUUAUUGAAAUUAUUAAUCUUGAACGAGGAAUUCCUAGUAAACGCGGAUCAUCAAUCUGCAUUGAUUACGUCCCUGCCCUUUGUACACACCGCCCGUCGCACCUACCGAUUGAGUGAUCCGGUGAAUUAUUCGGACUGUAACGCAUUCAGUUCUGGAUGCAGUUACGGGAAGUUUUGUGAACCUUACCACUUAGAGGAAGGAGAAGUCGUAACA